UACGGAGGGUGCAAGCGUUAUCCGGAUUCACUGGGUUUAAAGGGUGCGUAGGAGGACAGGUAAGUCAGUGGUGAAAUCUCCGAGCUUAACUCGGAAACUGCCGUUGAUACUAUCUGUCUUGAAUAUUGUGGAGGUGAGCGGAAUAUGUCAUGUAGCGGUGAAAUGCUUAGAUAUGACAUAGAACACCAAUUGCGAAGGCAGCUCGCUACACAUAUAUUGACUCUGAGGCACGAAAGCGUGGGGAUCAAACAGG
rnacentral:rRNA from 1 species